CUAAAACAGUGGUACAUACACUUGGCCCCAAUUUGUGAGUCAAUUCCAAGUGCGAAAUUUAUCAUGUCUGAUUUUCCUCUCAGGUCUCACUUGGUGGUUGUUCUUUUUUUCUUUUUCUUCAAAGGUUCAGUCCUUUGGGGAAAGGAUUGUACUUUUCAUUCUGAAUGUCAUUAUUUUUGGAAGAUUGGAGAGAAAGUUGGAUGAUGAUGAUAUGUUUUUUUUACCUCACUCUGUGAAGGAGCAAGCUAAAAUUCUGUGGAAAAAUGGAGCAGCUGUUGGAUUUUACACAACCAAAUUGAAAGGCAGUCUGUGUAGCAACAGCACUGGCGCGUCCUAUCUGUUGCCUGUUUUCGAUACUGUGUUUGUCAGAAGGACACACCGUCGCCAAGGCCUGGGAACAGCCAUGCUGAGGGACUUCUGUGAGACCUUUCCAGAAGAUGAGGCCCUGGGCAUCAGCUAUCCGAUUUCUCCUGCCAUGUUCCAAGGUAACCCCACCUUGUGUGUGUGAGCAUUCGGGUGACGGGGAUGAAGAGAGCCUG
rnacentral:lncRNA from 1 species